AACGAACGCUGGCGGCAUGCCUAACACAUGCAAGUCGAACGAGACCUUCGGGUCUAGUGGCGCACGGGUGCGUAACGCGUGGGAACCUGCCCUUAGGUUCGGAAUAACUCCCCGAAAGGGGUGCUAAUACAGGUUAAUGUCUUCGGACCAAAGAUUUAUGGCCUUGGGAUGGGCCCGGGUUGGAUUGGUUAGUUGGUAGGGUAAAAGCCUACCAAGGCGUCGAUCCAGAGCUGGUCUGUGAGGAGGAUCAGCCACACUGGGACUGAGGCACGGCCCAGACUCCUACGGGAGGGAGGAGUGUGGAAUAUUGGACGAGGGGGGAAAGCGUGAUACAGCAGUGCCGGGUGAGUGAUGAAGGCCUUAGGGUUGUAAAGCUCUUUUACCCGGGAUGAUAAUGACAGUACCGGGAGAAUAAGCACCGGCUAACUCCGUG
rnacentral:rRNA from 1 species